CCGCCAGAGCGGGGCCGGGAGGAGCCUCCGGCGCGGCGCGGCGCGGCGCGGCCGGGAAAGGGAGGGAGGGACGGAGGGAGCUGCCACGUCCUCCACGCCGAGCGAAGCCAGCCCGCGCCUCAGCCCCACGUGUGGCGGAGCGGGGAAGUUGCCGGCGGCCAGUUCGGGCUCCGUCCCUCUCCCGCCGCUGCCCGUCCCUUCGUUUCUUGCACAGCCAACCACGUGAAGGAGGAGUUCUUCAACCCCUUGUUUCAAAAGACCUCGGGCUGCUUUCUGCUGUUCAGCUCCCUUCGCUCCCCCGUUUCCGCAGACGAGGAGGAUGAGGCAGCUAAGAGGAAAACCCAAAAAAGAGACCUCCAAAGAUAAAAAGGAGAGAAAACAGGCAAUGCAAGAGGCCCGGCAACAAAUCACCACCGUGGUGCUUCCCACCCUGGCUGUCGUAGUACUGUUGAUUGUUGUAUUUGUUUAUGUAGCGACUCGUCCAAAUACAACUGAAUGAUACAGCUUUUCAGACUUUCUAGCUUCGGGGUAUUAAUAAUUCUAUCAAGAGCCAAAAGGAACUCUCUGCCACCCUUUUACUACUUUACAAAGGAACUUCGUGGUAUUUUCAGUCUUUCUAUUGGUUAGGGUCCCACAGAUUCUAUUUAGGAAUGUAACAUAAAACGUAUUAGUGAAUGUGCCAGUACGUUUUAUGGUCCAGUUCAUGUGCCUUUCAGACUUUUAAAAUGGUGUUUUUCUUAAAUCUGUUUGAAGCUCUAUAUUGUAAAAGGAAAUUGUGUUCUGCUAUAAAUUUGUAAAAAAUCAGCUUUCAGCUUUUAUCACUGUUAUGGAUAACGUUGCUCCCAUGAGCUCUUGUAUGUCUAUUUCAGAACUUCCAAAGAGGUAAAUUUCUUCUUUGUACUUAAUGUCAUAUGAAGUGCUUUGAUUCAGAAAGGAUAUAUUUAUUUUUUGCAUAAAAGAGAGAAGUCUUACUUGGAAUCUUCAAAUUAUUUUGCAAAAAAUGUGACUUAUUGUGAAAGCCUACAUUAUGUAAUAAUUUUUUCAUUAAACACUAUAUAGUUCACUCAGAAUUUCUUUUUGCUAUGAGAUACCAACUUGCAAUGUGAAUAUUUCAGGAUCUGCCAGAAGGAAUCUUCCAGAAGUUGGAAAGGGAGAUUCUACCAGUUUAUGGUGAAGUAACUAAUAACAAACUACGUAAACACAGAUAAUUGUUUAUCUAAAUGUUAAAUAUUUAGAUCUGUAUAAGUGGCAAUUAAAAAGUGGGUUUGGAUACA